rnacentral:sRNA from 1 species
AUGUUGCGUUAGGGAUUGAAGUGAAAAUCCUUUUAUCGCGCCAGCAGCGUGAUAAAAGAUUGAAACGUAAAGCCCGACCUGAG